rnacentral:rRNA from 1 species
UGUCAAGCUACGAAGAGUGCAUGGUGGAUGUUUUGGCGUCGGCAGGCGAUGAAGGACGUGGGACGGCUGCGUUAAGCUCCGGGGAGCCGCCAACCAGGCUUUGAUCCGGAGAUGUCCGAAUGCGAAAACGUUUCGCGGUGUUGCCGCGAAGCAUUGUCCUGAACACAUAGGGACAAUGGGCCAACGCAGGGAACUGAAACAUCUCAGUACCUGCAGGAGAAGAAAGAGUCAUCGACUUCCUCAGUAGCGGCGAGCGAAGAGGAAUGAGCCUAAACCCGCUGCGUGCAAGCAUGCAGGCGUUGCGUCGCGGGUGUUGUGGGGUGCCUAAUUCCGUGCUGCGUUGCGGAAAGAGAGUUACAAAGGGUCGAACUAACUGAAGGUUCUGGAAAGUUCCGCCAUAGCGGGUGAUAGCCCCGUAGGUGAAAGUGAAACCCCUCUCUUAGGUUACCCCGAGUAGUGCCAGGCACGUGAAACCUGACACGAAUCCGGGAGGACCACCUUCCAAGGCUAAGUACUCGCCGACGACCGAUAGCGCACAAGUAGCGUGAGCGAAAAAUGAAAAGUACCCCGGCGAGGGGAGUGAAAUAGUACCUGAAACCAUGCACUUACAAGCAGUCGAAGCUCUAUGGCUCUUCGGAGUCACGAGUAACGGCGUACCUUUUGCAUAAUGGACCGGCGAGUUAUUGUACGGAGCGAGGUUAAGGGCCUUAGGUCCGAAGCCGAAGCGAAAGCGAGUGCUAACUGCGCGAUCCAGUUCCGUGCGAUAGACCCGAAGGCAAGUGAUCUAUCCUUGGCCAGGUUGAAGCGGAUGUAACAGUCCGUGGAGGACCGAACUCUUUAGCGUUGAAAAGCUAUGAGAUGAGCUGAGGAUAGGAGUAAAAGUCUAAUCAAACUUGCAGAUAGCUGGUUCUCCCCGAAACAGCUUUCGGGCUGGCCUUGUGCGACAAGAGACGGGGGUAGAGCUACUGAAUGGGUUUGGGGGCCUAACCCGCUACCCUGCCUAAUCAAACUCCGAAUACCGUCUCUAAUGCCACAGGAGUUAGUCGACCGGGGAUAAGCUUGGUCGACGAGAGGGAAACAGCCCAGAUCGCAGGCUAAGGUCCCGAAACCGUGCUAAGUGGUUAAAGGAAGUGGAAGUGCUAAGACAGCCAGGAUGUUGGCUUAGAAGCAGCCAUCAUUUAAAAAGUGCGUAAUAGCUUACUGGUCGAGCACUUCUGCGCCGAAAAUCAACGGGACUAAGCAUGGUACCGAAGCCGCGAACUGAAACGACGUGUUACGUCGUUUCAUUGGUAGGGGAGCGUUCCACACUGGGAUGAAGAGAGACCGUAAGGACUCUUGGACUGUGUGGAAGUGAUAAUGCCGGUAUGAGUAGCGAUAAAGUCAGUGGGAAUCUGACUCGCCGUAAACCUAAGGUUUCCUGGGCAAGGUAAUUCCUCCCAGGGUUAGUCGGUCCCUAAGGCGAGGCCGAAAGGCGUAGUCGAUGGACAACGGGCUAAUAUUCCCGUACCACCUGUCAGCGUUUGAGCGAUGGGGGGACGGAGUCUAGAUUGUCAGCGCACCGCUAGUCGUGUGCGUCCAAGUCUGCGGGGUGGCCGUUGGUAAAUCCGCGGCACCAACACCUCGGGGAUGAUGGCGUGCGUCCUCGUACGCGAAGUGACAUGAAGGACUUCCAAGAAAAUCCCCUAGCGAGCAUGACAGGUGACCGUACCGCAAUCCGACACUGGUAGGUGGGGUGAGUAACCCAAGGCGCUCGAGAGAACUCUCGCUAAGGAACUCGGCAAUUUAACUCCGUAACUUCGGGAUAAGGAGUGCCCUUAGGGGUGUAGUCGUACAGACGAAGCCCCAGGGGGCCGCAGUUAAAAGGCUCUGGGAACUGUUUAUCAAAAACACAGGACUGUGCUAAGGCGGAUAAGCCGACGUAUACAGUCUGACGCCUGCCCAAUGCCGGAAGGUCAAAGGGAGCGGUUAGCCGUAAGGCGAAGCUGCGAACUGAAGCCCCGGUGAAUGGCGGCCGUAACUAUGACGGUCCUAAGGUAGCGAAGUUCCUUGUCGGGUAAGUUCCGACCCGCAUGAAUGGCGUAAUCACUGGAGCACUGUCUCAGCGAGAGACUCGGCGAAAUUGCAGUCGUGGUGAAAAUACCACGUUCCCGCGCCAGGACGAAAAGACCCCGUGAACCUUUACUGUAGCCUAGUACUGGGUCUUGACUCGAUAUGUGUAGUAUAGGUGGGAGACUGUGAAGCGGAGGCGCCAGCCCCCGUGGAGUCAUCAGUGAAAUACCACCCUUAUCUUGUUAGGAUUCUAACCGAUGCCCGUGAAUCCGGGAUCGGGACAGUGCUUGGUGGGCAGUUUGGCUGGGGCGGUCUCCUCCCAAAGAGUAACGGAGGAGUCCAAAGGCACCCUCAACGCGGUUGGCAAUCGCGUGUAGAGCGCAAAGGUAUAAGGGUGCUUGACUGCGAGACCUAUAAGUCGAGCAGGUGUGAAAGCAGGGCUUAGUGAUCCGGCGGUCCAGUGUGGAAUGGCCGUCGCUCAUCAGACAAAAGGUACUCCGGGGAUAACAGGCUGAUCUCCCCCAAGAGUCCAUAUCGACGGGGAGGUUUGGCACCUCGAUGUCGGCUCAUCGCAUCCUGGGGCUGAAGAAGGUCCCAAGGGUUUGGCUGUUCGCCAAUGAAAGCGGUACGCGAGCUGGGUUCAGACCGUCGUGAGACAGGUCGGUCUCUAUCCGGCGUGGGUGCAGGAGAUUUGAGGAGUUUUGCCCUUAGUACGAGAGGAUUGGGGCGGACGAACCUCUGGUGUACCAGUUGUGCCGCUAGGUGCAGUGCUGGGUAGCUAAGUUCGGAAAGGAUAAACGCUGAAAGCAUCUAAGCGUGAAGCCCUCUCCAAAACAGGAUCUCCCUAUGAGGCUCGUGGAAGACUACCACGUUGAUAGGCCGGAGGUGUAAGUGCAGCAAUGCAUUCAGCUCACCGGUACUAAUCAGCCCAUUGGCUUGACUAC